CCUGAGAGUGUCUGGCCUCUAAAGCUGACCUGACGUCUGCUGCUGAUUUUGCAGAGCAGAAAUUCUUCACAGGACUGGAGAAUUAAUGGACCAUUCAGAAGGAAACAAUCUCUGCAAGGAAAGAUACAAAUUAAUCAUCUGUGAGUGGCUGAUGUCCCCACUUAGUCACUUGUGCUGUGCAGCCUAGAGGGCAUGGAAGAAUAUCCCUCUCUGCUGAUCUGCUUCAUCCUGAGGAAGGCAUUCCUACCUGCUGUGAAAUAUAUUGUCCACCCACAGUUACAUCUGAAAAGUGACAAUACAGAAGCUGGUGUGUGUUUUCCCGUGCUUGAGAGCCUCUACAGAAACAUGGAGUGACAGCAGGAUGACUGCAGCUGAUGAAAAAAGAAACGUUUGAAGUGGUUGCAGCACGGGAUGAGUGAUGGCAGAUGGCUGCAGCAAACAGUAGAGGAGACCUGAAGUGGCAAUUCAGCAAGAAAACUCCAUGCCUGUAUUUGCAGAUAGGGAACUGAAACUUGUCUGUUCAAAUUGUCACGGAAUUUUUGGCAGCACCACAACUCAGACAAACCCAUCCUAAGUCUGCUGAGUGUUUCCAGUCACAAAGCACUGGUAGUGUCUUCAGACAGGGUACUCUGACCUGUCACCUUCCUUUGGGCUCAGUGCUGUCUUCUGCUUUCCUGCACUUCUCUCUUACCCUUACCUGUCUGUGUGUCAUACCACGCAUAAAUCUUUUUUCCUCUGACCACAAAACUUGUAGCUUUUGUUUCUUGGUCUGUGGUGACCUCGGAGCUCCUU
rnacentral:lncRNA from 1 species